GCCAACGUGGUAUAGUGGUUUAAGUGUUGGACUAUGGCUCUGGAAACCAAGGUUCGAAUCCUGGCUCAGCCC